GUGGGGAAUUUUUCGCAAUGGGCGCAAGCCUGACGAAGCAACGCCGCGUGGAGGAUGAAGGUCUUCGGAUUGUAAACUCCUGUCGACCGGGACGAAUGCACUCGACCUAAUACGUCGGAAUGUUGACGGUACCGGUGGAGGAAGCCACGGCUAACUCUGUGCCAGCAGCCGCGGUAAUACAGAGGUGGCAAGCGUUGUUCGGAAUUACUGGGCGUAAAGGGCGCGUAGGCGGCCUUGUAAGUCUCGUGUGAAAGCCCUCGGCUUAACUGAGGAUCUGCACGGGAUACUGCGAGGCUUGAGUUCGGGAGAGGAAAGCGGAAUUCCGGGUGUAGCGGUGAAAUGCGUAGAUAUCCGGAGGAACACCAGUGGCGAAGGCGGCUUUCUGGACCGACACUGACGCUGAGGCGCGAAAGCUAGGGGAGCAAACGGGAUUAGAAACCCGGGUAGUCC
rnacentral:rRNA from 1 species